GGCUUCGUAGUGUAGUGGUUAUCACCUCGGAUUCUGACUUUAAUAAUUGGAAAUUCCGGUAACGCCGGUUCGAAUCCGGCCGAGGCCU